rnacentral:lncRNA from 1 species
CGGCGGGGCCAGCCCGGAGCCCGGACCCCAGAGCCCGCCAGCGCGCCCCCCCGCCGGCCCCCGCGCGGUGGCCCCAGCCUGCCGGGCGCAGGAGGGAGGCGGGGAUCGGGGAUCGCGGAUCGCGCGCCGGCUCCGGCCAGCGGCGCCCGGCUGCCGCCGGCGGCUGCAGCGGCCGCUCAGCUCCGAGUGCCGGGCGCUCCGGGAAGCCGGCGUUCCUCGGAGGCACMGCGGCCGAGGCCGGCGAGCGCUCCUGGCGGCGGGGCCGCCCUCCCCGGCUCCCCGCACCCACCGUGCCGCGCUCCGCUCGCCGCGCCUCGGCUCCUGUGACCUUCCCGGAGCGCCACCCCCGGCCCCGCGCCCCCGGCCCCGCGCCCCAGGCCGGGGCGAGGCCCUCUCCAGCGCCUUCUCGUGAAGCCGCGGGCGGGCGGCGCAGGCCCGGGGGGAGGAGGCGCCGCGGUCGGCUGCAGCCCCCCCCCAACCCCCGCCGCCGCGCUCGGCGCCCGGCCCGGCCCGGCUGCCUCUGCCCCGCCGCUGCGCUGGAGCUGGGGCGGCCGAAGCUGGGGGCGCGGCUGCGCUCGCCUCACCCGGUCGGCUGCGGGCAGGCCCUGCCCUGAAGGAGCGAAGCGGGGCGAGCGAGAGGUGGAGCCCGCCCCGGCAGCGGACCCAGGCCCCAGCUCAUGCGGGGCGCCCCUGGCUUGGAAGAGUCCUCCGGGCAGAAAGCAGCUCCAGGCGGCGGCCCGGGAGGAAGAGGAAGGGACAGUGCUCAGCCUGGGCAAUCCGGACCUUUCCUGUCGCGUUUGCAGCCCGGGGCUGUCCCGAAGUCUGCUCUUGGCGCCGCUGCUGGGACUAGGGCAGCACCUGCCUGGACCCGGACUUGGACUCCCUGCUCCUCGUAGGCGGCAGCAUCUCCACGCCACCCAGCUCUUCCGCGGUCUCCCUCUGCUUGGGGGCAGUCACGGCCAAGUUACACUCGAAUACAUUCAUGGUGAGAGCCCAUUGACCUUCUUGGUUCCUUACCGUGCUCUUCCGGCCUCAGGUUCGCCUGUCCCACCCGGAGGCUCGGGAUACCAGUUCCCCCCCACCUACCUGUGCAGCCAGGCUCACGACCCUGCUUUCCGCGUCCUCCUCUCUGGAGUCCUCACUGCUGCCCUGAAUUCCUGGCGUCUCUCAUGUUCCUGUUGA